GCGGGCGUGGCGGAAUUGGUAGACGCGCUGGUUUUAGGUACCAGUGACAUCAGUCGUGUGGGUUCAAGUCCCUCCGCCCGUACCA
rnacentral:tRNA from 1 species